GGGGAUGACAGGCAUAGACAAAGGAAUGCAUUCCCACGCGCAUGACGGAGCUCUUGUAUCUCCUAAAACUGCAGGAAACAAUCAACUGCCAAAAACACAGUUGAAGGCGUUGCCUCUCCGUACUUCGGUGCGAAGAACUUCGCCUUUGCUUACGCCUAACGGCUAAGCGAUGUCGGACGGAUUACUUGUUUGGUAGUAUCCGUCUCGGCAUAAUCGAACCAGACUGUAACGCGAACUCUUUCCGCUUCGCGCCAAACCAAAGGGAAUCGGCUACAGCGCAUUUUGUUCAUUUUCAAACGCUGUAUCUUAAAUCCCAAAACGAACUAGGUCAUGUAGAUCCGUAGGUUUGUCUCUUUUGCACGGGGGUUCAAUUCCCCCCGUCUCCAUCG
rnacentral:tmRNA from 1 species